rnacentral:ncRNA from 1 species
UCAACUACAAUGGGGUGCCUAAAAAUGGCUGAGAUCAUACCCUUUGAACCUGGCCGGGUAAUGCCGGCAAGGGAAAACGUAAGAUCUUCAAAA